CCAUCGGUGGUUCAGUGAGAGAAUGCUCGCCUGCAUGCGGGCGGCCCGGGUUCGAUUCCGGCCGAUGCA